UUAACAGAAGAACAUUUCCAUUUAUCUCAAAACAUUGGCCUAAUCCUCUCUCUUUUGUAUGACAAUGGCAAUUUUAGCUUUAGUUGGAGAGGAGUUGGGCCGAUGGUAACGACAGUGUGUAGGUGUGUCAUGGAUAUACAGUUACAGACAGCAGAAAGACAAAACCCAUUGCUGCAGCUGCCAUCAUGGACUUGGGGGAAUUUGGGCUGAUCUCACAACGCGCCUAAGUUGGGGGGCAGAUAAAAAUGUAUGAAGUGACACAGAAAUUACACUGGAAAGCUGACAGUAUAAGACAGGCAUCUAUGUCUGCUGUAUGAAUUUAGAUGAUGCAUAUACCCAUCUGAAAGUGAACCUGGUCCCUGGUGGAACACAGUUAAGGCAAACGCAUGCAUUUGACCACGAAUAAGCAAUUUGGAGGCAUCUCCACUGCUAACUGACGUAGUACUUCAAAGUCUUCAUGCAGAGAAUUGUUUCACCAAUGUCAUAGGAAAAAAAAAAAGCUGCUUUUUGUGAAGGGCGAGCUGGCAGCCACUAGGUGGGAUAGCAGCCUUGCGGGCUGUGGCUGGAAGAUCCCACAUUACAGUCCACACUCAGCCUUUGGCCAGCAUCACUUCAAGGAGACUGGCAAAGCUCUGGCACAAACUGUAACACUCUACAGAAGCAAAUGGGAAAAAAAUACUGAAGUCAAAGAGUCUAGCUUAAUUUUCAACAGAAGUAAUGUGACCUGGAGAUUUUUAUGCUAUAUUUUAUCAUGUAAGAAAAAAAAAAAAAAGAUGAUAGAUCCACUUUAGUAAUUACUAAGCAUCUUUCAUUAAUCUUUAACAGCACUGUUUAUAAAAAAUGCAUUAACAAUUCUGGUUUGCUUCGGGCAAGGGGACCCUUUACAGGAUAGGCAAUUUGAUUUGGAAGUUAAUGAUUAUGACGUUCCACCUUUGUUCCAUGAACCAAUGCAUCUGACAGACAAACUUCUGAGGAAUAUGCAACAGUAGGAGCUUGGCCUUUGCACAUCAAUAUUCUUACAAAGAAAACUCUUGCUGUUUUACAGUUCAAAGUAGCUCUGGAACAAAUCUCUACUCAGAGCAGGAGGGAAGUCAACUAUUAAGUAGUAAGAGAGACAAAAUAAGGCUUCAUAAUCCCAACCUCAAAAAAAAUUUGCAUGGGUGUGGUUUUCCUGUCUCUGCUUUCCCAUAUGGAAUUGUUGCAUUUCUCUUAUUUCUAUUUGUCUUCACAUGGGCAGUAGGAUUUAGUCAUCCCAAACUUGCCUCUGUUCCAAAUGAUCGAUCAUCAUCGUGACCCAGAAGCCGGUAUGGCACUGCAAACAAUGUGUCAAUGUAUAGGUUACCAUAAGAAGUCCAUAUCAAGAAUUGGAUUUCAAACAAGAAAAAGCUUUACAGGAAGGUUUGCACAGAAAAUGAUUGCUGCAGGUCAACGAUUUAGGAACAAUUUGGUCAUGUGUAUGUAAUUCACAAUGAUACAUACGCUAUUUCCAAAAUGGUGAAGAUGCUCAUUUUGCAGGAGGAAGGGAGGCUGACUCUCUCCUACAUGAGUUACGGAUCAAAAAUUGGUAAUCCUUAAGAAAAAGUAGACCUGCAGUAUUAAUGAACCCCAGGCAGGUCCCAAGUAGGAGAGACAAUACUAAGACUGGCAGGCUUUUCCCAUUCAGAGUCCUCUUCUAUAAAAGUGGUCUGAGGAUGUAGGGUUUCUCAAGAGCUUAGGCUGUUGUGAAUAGAUCAAUCUCAACCUAAAUAUAUUAAGUAGGAAAAAUAUUUUUGUGUAUCAUAGCACUGAUUUCUCUUCCAAUAAGAGCCUCGCUUGCCUGUGAAACCAUAAUAGAGAAAAUUAUGGAGCAACAUGGAGAAAAUUUUCUGGAUGACCCAAUUUACCUUUCAGUUUGCAGAAGAGAGAAUUUGAUUUUGCAGCGUUUUCAAAUGGAUUUAGUAUUACAAAACUAAAUUAGAAUUAUUAUUGUAUAUAAAGUGAUAAAGAUUGAGAGACACUUGACUGAUUCAGGAUUGCCAAUGUCCU
ensembl:lncRNA